UGCAGUUUGUCAGAGAUCAGCUGUGCUUCUCUGGCCUCAGCUCUGAAGUCCAACCCCACCCAUGUGAGAGAGCUGGAGCUGAGUGACAACAAGUUGCUGGAUUCAGGAGUGAAGCUGCUGUGUGAUUUCCUGGAGAGUCUACACUGUAAACUGGAGAUUCUGAGAUUGUGGGGCUGCAGUUUGUCAGAGAUCAGCUGUGCUUCUCUGGCCUCAGCUCUGAAGUCCAACCCCUCCCAUCUGAGAGAGCUGGAGCUGAGUAAGAACAACCUGCAGGAAUCAGAUGUGAAGCUGCUGUCGGAUCUUGUGGAGAGUCCACACUGUAGACUGGAGACUCUGAGAUGGAAGUGAUCUCUUUCAGAGUGAUGAGAAAAGUGGUGGUGAGAGAGGAUCAGCUCAGUUUCCUGAUGAUCCAGAGAGGUUGAAGCAGCAGCAUCAGCUUAGACCUCUAUGGAAAUAAAUCAUCCAUCCAUCCAUCCAUCGUCAGCCACUUAUCCUGCAUACAGGGUCGCAGGGGCUGGAGCUAAUCCUAGCUGAUGUCGGAUGAAAGGCGGGGUACACACUGGACAGGUCGCCAGUCCAUCGCAGGGCGUUUGUUUUUCAAUGCUUUGUACAAUUAAUAAACCUCCCCUGUAAUUCAAAUCUGCAUUGCUAAUAAGACACUGUGUAGAUUUGACCAAUCGUGUAGCACAGAAAUGAUACAUGACUACAUCUAUUGUCAAGGAUGUGUACAAAUAACUGAAUCAGGUAUAAACAUGCAUAUUUAGUUCUCAUUAGUGACCAGUAAUGAAAUGUUUAAACACCUUUAAGAAAGUCUGAACAACCCAAAGUGUCAGCGUGUUUUCAGAUUGACUGUAUUACAUAAUAAAAGACAACUGAAUAAAACUUCA